AGCGAACGCUGGCGGCAGGCCUAACACAUGCAAGUCGAACGGGCUCUUCGGAGCUAGUGGCGGACGGGUGAGUAACACGUGGGAACGUGCCUUUAGGUUCGGAAUAAGCCCGGGAAACUGGGUCUAAUACAGAAUGUGCCCUUCGGGGGAAAGAUUUAUCGCCUUUAGAGCGGCCCGCGUCUGAUUAGCUAGUUGGUGGGGUAAUGGCCCACCAAGGCUACGAUCAGUAGCUGGUCUGAGAGGAUGACCAGCCACAUUGGGACUGAGACACGGCCCAAACUCCUACGGGAGGCAGCAGUGGGGAAUCUUGCGCAAUGGGCGAAAGCCUGACGCAGCCAUGCCGCGUGGAUGAUAAAGGUCUUAGGAUUGUAAAAUCCUUUCACCGGUGAAGAUAAUGACUGUAGCCGGAGAAGAAGCCCCGGCUAACUUCGUGCCAGCCGCCGCAGUAACAC
rnacentral:rRNA from 1 species